AUGAGGUUUUUCCCAUUACCCAUCAAUCCUUGCUUCAACAUAGUUGGCAGAAUGGCAGCGUGAGGUGUGGAAAAAUAGUAUAUUACACUACAGUACUGAAGAAGGCAGUUUACGUGAGGCACAGGACCAGGAUUUAGUUCUAUGGGUGUCCAUUCAAUUGGUUGGAGUGGACUGGUAGACUGAAGAUUGACCAUUUCCAUCAAGAUUGAAGAAAUAAAGAGGGCCAAGAUGAAUUACAAUUUUGAAGGAAAGCAAUGAAAGCUGCAUCUGUGUCUGCUUCAUACCACAAAACCAUUAAGCCCCCAAGUAGAGUGAAUAUCUUCAGUUUGAACACUGAAGAGGGCUUCAAAGGUCUAAAAUGUUUCAGCAUUUUCAUAUCAAGAAAUAGAAGAAAUUUGAGCACUGGAAAAGCUGCAUAUGCAAGAACUAGACAAAAAAAUUAAAUAAUCAAAGACACUCCGCCAUAAGACCUGACCACACUACGUAUACUUCCGCCCUCCCUCCGCCAUCUUUGAUGACGUCAUGCCUUCCCAUCAUUCCUCACUUCUUCCCAGCAUUCCUGCACUUCCGGCUCCUCCCCUAUAAAAAUGGCCGCGACGCACAGUAUGGCGUUGCACAUGAGUUGUUUAUGUAUGACCGUAUUUUUGUGUUCUGAAAGCUGGAGUGUCGACAAUAUAAGGGGCCGGAAAACCCCAAACCUUUUUGUUGUCUGCUUCUCAA